rnacentral:rRNA from 1 species
GGGAGUAACGCGUGGGUAACCGUGCCUCAUACAGGGGGAUAACAGUUAGAAAUGACUGCUAAUACCGCAUAAGCGCACAGUGCUGCAUGGCACAGUGUGAAAAACUCCGGUGGUAUGAGAUGGACCCGCGUCUGAUUAGCUAGUUGGUGGGGUAACGGCCUACCAAGGCGACGAUCAGUAGCCGGCCUGAGAGGGUGACCGGCCACAUUGGGACUGAGACACGGCCCAA